rnacentral:rRNA from 1 species
UGGGGAAUUUUGGACAAUGGGGGAAACCCUGAUCCAGCCAUCCCGCGUGUGCGAUGAAGGCCUUCGGGUUGUAAAGCACUUUUGGCAGGAAAGAAACGUCAUGGGUUAAUACCCCGUGAAACUGACGGUACCUGCAGAAUAAGCACCGGCUAACUACGUGCCAGCAGCCGCGGUAAUACGUAGGGUGCAAGCGUUAAUCGGAAUUACUGGGCGUAAAGCGUGCGCAGGCGGUUCGGAAAGAAAGAUGUGAAAUCCCAGAGCUCAACUUUGGAACUGCAUUUUUAACUACCGGGCUAGAGUGUGUCAGAGGGAAGUGGAAUUCGGCGUGUAGCAGUGAAAUGCGUAGAUAUGCGGAGGAACACCGAUGGCGAAGGCAGCCUCCUGGGAUAACACUGACGCUCAUGCACGAAAGCGUGGGGAGCAAACAGG